rnacentral:rRNA from 1 species
UCGAGGAUAUUUAGCAAUGGACGAAAGUCUGACUAUGCGACGCCGCGUGAGGGAUGAAGGAUUUCGGUUCGUAAACCUCUUUUGGCAGGGAAGAAAACUUUGCUUCUAAUCAAGCAAAACUGACGGUACCUGCAGAAUCAGCCACGGCUAACUCCGUGCCAGCAGCCGCGGUAAUACGGAGGUGGCUAGCGUUACUCGGAAUUAUUGGGUGUAAAGGGCAAGUAGGCGGUCUAAUAAGUGGGGGGUGAAAUACUCCGGCUCAAUCGGAGAACAGCCCUCCAAACUGCUAGACUUGAGUAUGACAGAGGAAAAUGGAAUUCUUGGUGUAAGGGUGAAAUCUGUAGAUAUCAAGAAGAACACCAGCUGCGAAGGCGAUUUUCUGGGUCAUUACUGACGCUAAAUUGCGAAAGCUAGGGGAGCAAACAGA